rnacentral:rRNA from 1 species
AGUGAACGCUGGCGGUAGGCCUAACACAUGCCAGUCGAACGGCAGCGCAGUAAGAGCUUGCUCUUACGGGUGGCGAGUGGCGGACGGGUGAGGAAUACAUCGGAAUCUACUUUUUCGUGGGGGAUAACGUAGGGAAACUUACGCUAAUACCGCAUACGACCUACGGGUGAAAGCAGGGGAUCUUCGGACCUUGCGCGAUUGAAUGAGCCGAUGUCGGAUUAGCUAGUUGGCGGGGUAAAGGCCCACCAAGGCGACGAUCCGUAGCUGGUCUGAGAGGAGGAUCAGCCACACUGGAACUGAGACACGGUCCAGACUCCUACGGGAGGCAGCAGUGGGGAAUAUUGGACAAUGGGCGCAAGCCUGAUCCAGCCAUACCGCGUGGGUGAAGAAGGCCUUCGGGUUGUAAAGCCCUUUUGUUGGGAAAGAAAAGCAGCAGGUUAAUACCCCGCUGUUCUGACGGUACCCAAAGAAUAAGCACCGGCUAACUUCGUG